rnacentral:rRNA from 1 species
UACGUAGGGUGCGAGCGUUGUCCGGAAUUAUUGGGCGUAAAGAGCUCGUAGGCGGUCUGUCGCGUCUGCUGUGAAAUCCCGAGGCUCAACCUCGGGCCUGCAGUGGGUACGGGCAGACUAGAGUGCGGUAGGGGAGAUUGGAAUUCCUGGUGUAGCGGUGGAAUGCGCGGAUAUCAGGAGGAACACCGAUGGCGAAGGCAGAUCUCUGGGCCGUAACUGACGCUGAGGAGCGAAAGCGUGGGGAGCGAACAGG